GACGAACGCUGGCGGCGUGCUUAACACAUGCAAGUCUAGCGGAAAGGCCCUUCGGGGUACUCGAGCGGCGAACUGGUGAGUAACACGUGAGUAACCUGCCCCAGACUUUGUGUUAACCCUCGGAAACGGGGGCUAAUACCGGAUACGACACAGCUUCGCAUGGGGUCUGUGUGGAAAGUUUUUCGGUUUGGGAUGGGCUCGCGGCCUAUCAGCUUGUUGGUUGGGUGAUGUCCUACCAAGGCGACGACGAGUAGCCGGCCUGAGAGGGCGACCGGCCACAAAGGGACAGGAACACGGCCCAGAGUCCGAAGAGAGGCAGAAGGACGGAAUAGUGCACAGUGGGCGGAAGCCUGAUGCAGAGACGCGGCGUGGAGGAUGACGGGCUUAGGGUUGUAAACAUCUAUCAGCAGGAAAGAAGCGUAAGUGACGGUACCUGAAGAAGAAGCGCCGGCCAACUACGGG
rnacentral:rRNA from 1 species